AAAAACGUUACUCAUUGCAUCACAUGGAUGCCUCGACUCUGUACUCCGACGAAGGACGUGGCCAGCUGCGAUAAGCCUCGGUAAGCCGCUAGGCAGGCGUUAUAACCGGGGAUUUCCGAAUGGGGAAACCCAACCUUCGUAAUGGAAGGCUACCUCGCGUAAGCGGGGAGGUCACUCUGUGAACUGAAACAUCUCAUGUAACAGAGGAAAAGAAAUCAAUAGAGAUUCCCUUAGUAGUGGCGAGCGAAAAGGGAACAGCCCAAAUUCCACGAUAUUAUUGUGGAUGGUUGUAGGAGCCCAAUAUCUGAGUGUUUCAAUUUAGGCAAACGAUCCUGGAACGGACGGCCCAAGAGGGUGAGAGCCCCGUCGCCGAAAAAUUGAAACACAGUAGGGAUUUCCUGAGUAGGGUCGGACACGUGUAAUCCGGCCUGAAUCUAGGUGGACCACCACCUAAGGCUAAAUAGGUACAGAGAUCAAUAGCGGAUAGUACCGUGAGGGAAAGGUGAAAAGCACCCCGGAAGGGGGAUGAAAUAGUCUCUGAAAUGUGAUGCAUACAAAGAGUCGGAGCCCAUUUAUUUGGGUGACGGCGUGCCUUUUGCAUAAUGAGCCAACGAGUUUGUCGUAUGUGGCAGGUUAAGGCCUAAAAGCCGAAGCCGGAGCGAAAGCGAGUCCGAAUAGGGCGAUUUUUGAGUCGCAUGCGCAAGACCCGAAACCGGGUGAGCUAACCAUGGGCAGGGUGAAGGUCGUGGGAACACGAUUGGAGGCCCGCACCCACCAGUGCCGCAAGACUGGGGGAUGACCUGUGGUUAGGGGUGAAAAGCCUAUCGAACCCGGAGAUAGCUGGUUCUCCUCGAAAUGCCUUUAGGGGCAGCCUCGUUAUAUACGCUUGGGGGUAGAGCUACUGUUUGGAUGCGGGGGUCUUUCCGACCUACCAAAUCCUGACAAACUCCGAAUACCAAGUCUUUGAUAACGGGAGUGAGUCAGCGACAGCUAACUGCCGUUGACGAAAGGGAAAGAACCCUAAUCAUCUGCUAAGGUCCCUAAUUAUCGUUCAGUGGAAAAGGUAGUACGAAUGCAUCGACAACCAGGAGGUUGGCUUAGAAGCAGCCAUCCUUUAAAGAAAGCGUAACAGCUCACUGGUCGAUUGCAUUCGUGCGCCGAAAAUGUAUCGGGGCGAAACGAUAAACCGAAGCAAUGAGUGUGCCACUUUUAGUGGUGCGCAGUAGAGGAGCGUUCCGUUCAGCAGUGAAGCAGUACUGCGAAGUAUUGUGGAGCGGACGGACGUGAGAAUGUUGGCAUGAGUAACUACUAGGCAAGCGAAAAUCUUGCCCGCCGAAUCCCCAAGGUUUCCCACGCAACGUAAAUCGGCGUGGGGUUAGUCGGUCCUAAGGCCAGGCCGAAAGGCGUAACCGAUGGACAACAGGUCAAUAUUCCUGUACCUCAUGGAAAUCGCCAGAGGGCUUUACUUGAUAGUUUCGCAAGCCUCUGUUCUGUACCAUUCUAUGCUUACUGGAAUUGAAAAUGGUAAGUGGUAAGUGGAAAAUAAUUUUCCAUUUUCAACUUUCAAUUUUCCAUUUCUCUGAGACUAGGAUGGUGCAGAACAUGUUUACGGAAAAGGAUUGUGGAGUCCUAGGAGCGUUGUAACGGAGCGGGAGUACCAGAGCGUGUGUAUUGACUGCACGUGUAACACAUGAAGUAUUGAUUCCGGGAGGCAAAUCCCCCGGAUGAGCUGAGUGUGGAUACCAAAUGUCCGCCGCAAGGCGGGAGAGUCUGACUGCUUCUACUUCCAAGAAAAACAUCGCUCACAGAAAUCCGUGAGACCGUACCGCAAACCAACUCCGGUGGGGUGGUCGAGUAGACCAAGGCGAACGGGUAAUGUCGUGUCAAGGAACUCGGCAAAACAACGUCCGUAACUUCGGGAUAAGGACUGACUCCGCGCAAGCGGAGCCUGCAAUAAAUGAGUCCAGGCGACUGUUUACCAAAAACACAGGUCUCUGCGAAGUUGUAAAACAACGUAUAGAGGCUGAUGCCUGCCCAGUGUCAGAAGGUUACGUGAGGGGAUUUACGUCUCUGAUCUAAGCCCUGAUGAACGGCGGCCGUAACUAUAACGGUCCUAAGGUAGCGAAAUUCCUUGUCGGGUGGUCGAUAAGCACUUGCCCGAAUGAGAGGUAACUCUCAGCGCUAGGGAAUUCGUGAAUGGCAUGAAUUAGCGUAAUAACGUGUCUAUAUGCUGGAAAAUCCCAUGUAUCCCUUAAACCGAAAGGUAAAGGGUGGGGACAAUCAGCAGGAAAGACCCCGCGAGUGCGGGGAAUCCUCAGAGACUACAUGACACGCUCCAAUUAACUUUGGAAGAUGAUAUAGUCCGAUCUCCAUGGCGACAUGGAGGGUAGUAAAAUCGUACUGCUGAUAAAAACAAUCGUGGAACAGAUCAACACGUCCCCUUCGGGGACUCUUAACAAUUGACACGCGCCUUCGGUGCUUUUAACAAUUAACAAUGUUAAAAGUGAGCGAAGCGAACGUGUUAAAUGUCAAUUGUUGAUUGUUGCGCGCAUCAGCGCGCUUGAAGUUCCGACCCGCACGAAUGGUAUAACGGUCUGGGCACUGUCUCGACACGAUGCCCGGUGAAAUUGCAGUCCCGGUACAAAUGCCGGGUUGAUUACGGAAGGACGAAAAGACCCUAUGAAGCUUUACUAUACGCUGGCAUUGCAGAGUUGGUCUGCUUAUGCAGGAUAGGUGGGAGACUUUGAAGCUCGGACGUUAGUCCGGGUGGAGUCAUCCUUGAGAUACCACCUUUGUGUUCUGAUUCUGCUCACUCAUUUCUUGUACACAAGAGAUGGAGACAGUGCUUGCCGGGUAGUUUAACUGGGGCGGUUGCCUCCUAAAAUGUAACGGAGGCGUGCAAUGGUAACCUAGCGCCGGAUGGAAAUCGGCGUGGUCGUAUAAUCGCACAAGGUUGCCUGACUGUGAGACUUACAGGUCGAGCAGAGACGAAAGUCGGUGAUAGUGAUCUGGUGUCCUGAGCUGUUUUUAAUGGCUCUUACCACGUGGGUGGGACAUCACUCAACGGAUAAAAGUUACUCUAGGGAUAACAGGCUGAUCGCUCCCAAGCGCCCACAGCGACGGAGCGGUUUGGCACCUCAUUCGGGGUGCUACAGAAGUAAUUCUGUACCAAAAAUUCGGCUUAUAACGGUGAAACCGUCACGAGCAUUGUGGAAAUGAAAUGCUCGCCGGCAAUACCGUGGGAAGUCUGCAAUGACAAUUAACAAUUAACACGGGCACUUCGUGCCCUAUUGACAAUUGACAGAGACGGCAAUGAUUAAACGCAAGUUUCACUCAUUGUUUCAAAAGUCAAUUGUUAAAAGUCCCCGCAGGGACGUGUCAAUAGUCAAUUGUCGUAGUAUGACCCCGUAACGACUGACCCGAAAGGGGAGAGCUCUUGGAAAUAUAUAUAUAAGGGCUAAUACGCCGAAUCCUGCUUCAUUAAAUCAGAUUAUGGUCAUAAGAGACCUAAGAUCGAUUGCAGGAAAAAGAUAUAGUCUGCGCCAUAUGAAAAUAUGGAAUUAGUACGAUGUCGGCUCAUCGCAUCCUGGGGCUGAAGAAGGUCCCAAGGGUUUGGCUGUUCGCCAAUGAAAGCGGUACGCGAGCUGGGUUCAGAACGUCGUGAGACAGUUUGGCCUCUAUCCUCCGUAAUCACUUAGAGACGUGAAGGAAGCUGCUCCUAGUACGAGAGGACCGGAGUGGACGAACCUCUGGUGACCCUGUUGUUGUGUCAACGGCAUCGCAGGAUAGCUAUGUUCGGAAGGGAUAACCGCUGAAGGCAUCUAAGCGGGAAGCCCCCCCUAAGAUUGCGUCUCUCCAUAAAUCCGCCGCAAGAACAGCGGUUAGAUCGGCCACAGGUGUAAGCAUGGUAACGUGUUCAGCCGAGUGGUACGAAUGGAUGAUUGAACGUUUUUAA
rnacentral:rRNA from 1 species